GGGUUGUGAGGUUAAGCGACUAAGCGUACACGGUGGAUGCCCUGGCAGUCAGAGGCGAUGAAGGACGUGCUAAUCUGCGAAAAGCGUCGGUAAGGUGAUAUGAACCGUUACAGCCGGCGAUGUCCGAAUGGGGAAACCCAGUGCAAUUCGUUGCACUAUCGUUAACUGAAUACAUAGGUUAACGAGGCGAACCGGGGGAACUGAAACAUCUAAGUACCCCGAGGAAAAGAAAUCAACCGAGAUUCCCCCAGUAGCGGCGAGCGAACGGGGAGCAGCCCAGAGUCUGAAUCAGCUUGUGUGUUAGUGGAACGGUCUGGAAAGUCCGACGGUACAGGGUGAUAGUCCCGUACACCAAAAUGCACAGGCUGUGAACUCGAAGAGUAGGGCGGGACACGUGGUAUCCUGUCUGAAUAUGGGGGGACCAUCCUCCAAGGCUAAAUACUCCUGACUGACCGAUAGUGAACCAGUACCGUGAGGGAAAGGCGAAAAGAACCCCGGCGAGGGGAGUGAAAAAGAACCUGAAACCGUGUACGUACAAGCAGUGGGAGCACCUCGGGUGUGACUGCGUACCUUUUGUAUAAUGGGUCAGCGACUUAUAUUCUGUAGCAAGGUUAACCGUAUAGGGGAGCCGCAGGGAAACCGAGUCUUAACUGGGCGUUAAGUUGCAGGGUAUAGACCCGAAACCCGGUGAUCUAGCCAUGGGCAGGUUGAAGGUUGGGUAACACUAACUGGAGGACCGAACCGACUAAUGUUGAAAAAUUAGCGGAUGACUUGUGGCUGGGGGUGAAAGGCCAAUCAAACCGGGAGAUAGCUGGUUCUCCCCGAAAGCUAUUUAGGUAGCGCCUCGUGAACUCAUCUUCGGGGGUAGAGCACUGUUUCGGCUAGGGGGUCAUCCCGACUUACCAACCCGAUGCAAACUACGAAUACCGAAGAAUGUUAUCACGGGAGACACACGGCGGGUGCUAACGUCCGUCGUGAAGAGGGAAACAACCCAGACCGCCAGCUAAGGUCCCAAAGUCACAGUUAAGUGGGAAACGAUGUGGGAAGGCACAGACAGCCAGGAUGUUGGCUUAGAAGCAGCCAUCAUUUAAAGAAAGCGUAAUAGCUCACUGGUCGAGUCGGCCUGCGCGGAAGAUGUAACGGGGCUAAACUGUGCACCGAAGCUGCGGCAGCGACACUAUGUGUUGUUGGGUAGGGGAGCGUUCUGUAAGCCUGCGAAGGUGGCCUGUGAGGGUUGCUGGAGGUAUCAGAAGUGCGAAUGCUGACAUAAGUAACGAUAAUGCGGGUGAAAAGCCCGCACGCCGGAAGACCAAGGGUUCCUGUCCAACGUUAAUCGGGGCAGGGUGAGUCGACCCCUAAGGCGAGGCCGAAAGGCGUAGUCGAUGGGAAACAGGUUAAUAUUCCUGUACUUGGUGUUACUGCGAAGGGGGGACGGAGAAGGCUAUGUUAGCCGGGCGACGGUUGUCCCGGUUUAAGCAUGUAGGCGGAGGUUCCAGGUAAAUCCGGUACCUUUUAACGCUGAGGUGUGAUGACGAGGCACUACGGUGCUGAAGUAACAAAUGCCCUGCUUCCAGGAAAAGCCUCUAAGCAUCAGGUAACAUUGAAUCGUACCCCAAACCGACACAGGUGGUCAGGUAGAGAAUACCAAGGCGCUUGAGAGAACUCGGGUGAAGGAACUAGGCAAAAUGGUGCCGUAACUUCGGGAGAAGGCACGCUGAUAUGUAGGUGAAGCCCCUGCGGGUGGAGCUGAAAUCAGUCGAAGAUACCAGCUGGCUGCAACUGUUUAUUAAAAACACAGCACUGUGCAAACACGAAAGUGGACGUAUACGGUGUGACGCCUGCCCGGUGCCGGAAGGUUAAUUGAUGGGGUUAUCCGUAAGGAGAAGCUCUUGAUCGAAGCCCCGGUAAACGGCGGCCGUAACUAUAACGGUCCUAAGGUAGCGAAAUUCCUUGUCGGGUAAGUUCCGACCUGCACGAAUGGCGUAAUGAUGGCCAGGCUGUCUCCACCCGAGACUCAGUGAAAUUGAACUCGCUGUGAAGAUGCAGUGUACCCGCGGCAAGACGGAAAGACCCCGUGAACCUUUACUAUAGCUUGACACUGAACAUUGAGCCUUGAUGUGUAGGAUAGGUGGGAGGCUUUGAAGCGUGGACGCCAGUCUGCGUGGAGCCAACCUUGAAAUACCACCCUUUAAUGUUUGAUGUUCUAACGUUGGCCCCUGACCGGGGUUGCGGACAGUGUCUGGUGGGUAGUUUGACUGGGGCGGUCUCCUCCCAAAGAGUAACGGAGGAGCACGAAGGUUAGCUAAUCCUGGUCGGACAUCAGGAGGUUAGUGCAAUGGCAUAAGCUAGCUUGACUGCGAGCGUGACGGCGCGAGCAGGUGCGAAAGCAGGUCAUAGUGAUCCGGUGGUUCUGAAUGGAAGGGCCAUCGCUCAACGGAUAAAAGGUACUCCGGGGAUAACAGGCUGAUACCGCCCAAGAGUUCAUAUCGACGGCGGUGUUUGGCACCUCGAUGUCGGCUCAUCACAUCCUGGGGCUGAAGUAGGUCCCAAGGGUAUGGCUGUUCGCCAUUUAAAGUGGUACGCGAGCUGGGUUUAGAACGUCGUGAGACAGUUCGGUCCCUAUCUGCCGUGGGCGCUGGAGAAUUGAGGGGGGCUGCUCCUAGUACGAGAGGACCGGAGUGGACGCAUCACUGGUGUUCGGGUUGUCAUGCCAAUGGCAUUGCCCGGUAGCUAAAUGCGGAAGAGAUAAGUGCUGAAAGCAUCUAAGCACGAAACUUGCCCCGAGAUGAGUUCUCCCUGACUCCUUGAGAGUCCUGAAGGAACGUUAAAGACGAUGACGUUGAUAGGUCGGAUGUGUAAGCGUAGCGAUACGUUGAGCUAACCGAUACUAAUGAACCGUGAGGCUUAACCUUACAACGCCGAAGGUGUUU
rnacentral:rRNA from 1 species